rnacentral:lncRNA from 1 species
GGGCACUAGCUUUGCUACUAAACAACAGAAAUAUGCUUAAAAAAGCUCAAUGUGAGCUUGACACCCACGUGGGAAAGCACCGCGAAGUGGCCGAGACAGACAUAAAGAACCUUGUAUAUAUGCAAGCCAUUGUGAAGGAAACAUUCAGACUACACCAGCCAGCACCACUCUCAGGACCAAGGGAAGCCAUGGAGGAUUGCACUGUAGCUGGCUUCCACAUCCCAGCAGGCACGCGCCUUGUGGUUAACCUCUGGAAGUUGCAUCGUGACCCUAACAUUUGGGCUAACCCAUUGGAAUUUCAGCCUGAGAGGUUCCUGAAAGAGCAUGCCAAUUUGGAUGUAAGGGGCCAGGACUUCGAAUUCACACCAUUCGGGUCUGGAAGAAGAAUGUGCCCUGCGGUCUCAUUCGCUGUCCAGGUUGUGCACCUGACACUUGCUCGGCUUCUUCAUGGGUUUGAAUUGAGGACAGUCUCGGAUAAUCCAGUCGAUAUGACUGAAAGCCCUGGAUUGACAGUCCCCAAAGCAACACCAUUGGAGGUUGUCCUCAGGCCAAGGUUACCUUCCAUCGCUUACGAAUUCUAAGCAGCAAGCACAAGGAGAUCAUUGUGUAAUCCUUUAUAAAAAUAUAUAAAACAAAGGUAGAAUAAAGGCAGGAAGUAUUUUUUAUUGCCAAUGUAUUGCAAUAACUGUUGAACUGAUCUUAUAGUCAAGUUUUUAUUUCGUGGUUUUUAAUUUACUAUUGUCUAUUUUUAUCAACUAUAUCAUUUGGUGCGUUUUUUUUCAAACUAAAAAAUUUCAGUGGAAACAAAUUUGGACAGAAGGACUAGCAGAAAGCUGAAAUUGGCAAAAGCAGACAAGAAAAUUGUUUGCAUCUGGUCACCAUCAGUUAGACUUAGCUCCCUUGUCCCUUGUGGCCAUAAUUGAAUCAAAGGGAGUAGCAGAGCAAUAAAUGUUGACGAUAGUGAAUCUUCAUGAACAGAAAGAUAGUAAUAAUAAUAAUAUGCUCAUUAUAAAAUCUCUUUGUUAUCAUUUUAUAUAAUUAAAAAUUAACAAUGUUUUCAUAGCUUAUUAUGAUGGGAUUAUAGGCAUACCCAUCACGAACUCUAUUUUCUAGACCAUCUUAUCACCAAUCUUCAACAUCAUAAGUAACUUUGCACCUUACGAAACCUGUCUUAUGAUAACAAUGAUUUUUCUUCAAUUUGAAUGUAAGCUUUCAAUUUUGAUAACCACAUAAUAUAUCUUUUUUUUUCAAAAAACUCUCAUUAAAGAAAGGAACUUCAUCAGAAUAAGUUCGUGAGUUCUUUGUGUAUACAUCCAUGAUGGUGCUUAAUUUAUGAAUCUAUAAUGUGCAGAUCAGGAAGAAUCGGAAAUCAUCACUAGUUUUAAAAAAUCUUGCCACAUUAGCAAAGGCGUCACAAGGAACUACGAAUGCAGCGCGUAAAGCCAGCAUAGCAUGGAUGUCCAGCCCAAAAAAUCCUUCAUUCAUGACUAUCUUGCAGGAAAAUAUAUAGUAAGCAUGAUCUACUGGUGAGCCUUUACGAAAAUGUAGUAGAUAAUUUUAUUAUUUUCAAUGUGUACUUACAGCUCUUAUAAUAAGCAUGCACAGUGUUGUUUUGGCGAGCCUUUACAAAAAUGCAAUCUUGAAGGUGUUUGUUAAGUUCUAAUUAUUGCAAUUCUUGCUGAUUUAUGCAGUACAUCCGCUAACAGGUGUCCGCAAGAAGAUUCUGAAAGCUUCAGACUUCAGAUUUGUGACGGAAAAGAGUGGCUUCGUCAAACAAAAUGGAGAAAAGGCGGAGGGUAGAAUUUGAUAAAGGGACGGCGGACAACAAUAUGGUGGGAGGAAAUGUUUGCGUGUUUGAGCUGAUGAGGUUGGGGAAGAAGGCUGCACCGAGAGCUUUUAUAGAGGGUGCUUAUUGAAGUAUAUUUAGGGGCUUAUCAGGAUGCGGCAAUUGUUGAUGUUUCACCCCGAAGAAAGUCUCUUUUUUGGGAUCUUAUUUGGGCUUGGUGGGUCUCGUUUUUGGUCUACUUUCAAAUGGGCCUGGGUCUGGAUUCUUUUGAUUUAUUUAAUUGUAUUGGAGACCAUGGUGCCUGGACUGUAAAAUUAUUCAAUUUUAUUUUACUGGCUGGCAUCUAGAGGUGCUCAUUGUUUCCUUAUCCAUCCUCUCACAUUCUUUUCCAUACAGAGUUAAGUUUCCAUCUCCUUCCUUUCCAAUCAUAUUUGUAAUAUUUCUAACCCGACAAACACCACCGAAAAAAAAGGUAACUACAUGCAUAUUCCUCUGUUAGGCAUACGACACUUAUUUCAUUAAAUUAUAUAGUAAUUAGUAGUAACUUGUAAGUUCUGUUUUUGGUGUACAAGGGGUGAUUGUGUUCCUGUUUCUCAUCAUAUAUAUUGCAGGUUUUGGGUCAAUGGCAACAGCCUCAGCAACGCUUUCUCCAGCAACACUUGCUGCUGCCACAGUUAGCAGUCCUGAGAGGAAGCAAAUCAAAGUGAACUACAUAACAGGACUGGAUUCUUUUGGUGGGCUAAAAGCUCACAUCAAUGUGAGUUCAUUAGGCCUGCCAGUAUGCACUGAGCAGUCCUUUGCAAAGGUGGUCAGCUCAUUGAGAGCUCCAUCAAAGGGUAAAGGCAGAAGUGGGGGUGCACUCUCUUCAACCUGCAGUGAUGUUGGUGAGAUAUUCAGGAUAGCAGCAAUCAUGAAUGGGCUUGUUCUUGUUGGAGUUGCAGUGGGAUUUGUUCUUCUUCGAGUCGAAGCUUUUGUGGAGGGGACUGAAUGAGAAAUUUUAGCCACUAUAGCCAGUUUCUUGGUUGGUUGUUCUUUUGUUAAUCAAGGAUAUUGUUUGUACCCUAUCUUCUUUGUUAAUUAAGGAUAUUUCUUGGAUGUCUAAACAAAACCAGCAAACUGAGUUUCAACACGAAACUUUAUAAAAAAAUAUUAAUAAAAAGUUUUUUUUUUUUAACAGAAGAAUAAAAGGUGAAAAAUGUAAUUCUUGUCGUGUCACGAUAACAAGUGGUUGUGGUUUUAAAUAGGAGACAUAUACAAUGAGUCAAAGAGUAUUGUAACACUCUUCAAAUCAUGAGCAAUUGUCUAGUUUUUGAGAGAGAUGAUGAUGAUGAAGGGUUGCUUGUUGACAGUGAGAGGAGUUGUGGGGAGAUAACGAAGGCUUAUGGUGAUUGGACAUGAUAUAUUUGAUGUGGGUUUUGAGAUAAAUGAUGCUGGAGAGUUGCUUGUGGACAGCGGGAGCAUUCGUGGGUGAGAUAACGGAGGCUUGUGGUUGUUAGGCAUAAUCUGAUUCAAAUGAGGAAAAACAUUUCAAAGGAUUUAAUGAUGAUGAUGAUGGAGGUUUGCUUGCCGACAGUGGGAGGAGCUGUGGGUGAGACAACGGGGGCAUGUGGUGAUUGAGUAUGAUCUAAUUAAAGUGAAAAAACGUGGAGUUUUGAUUUUGAUUCUUGAUGAUGUUCUGUUGAAGGGACAGAGAAAGACAUGGAAAAUGCACUGUUUUUUUUCCCGUUAAAUAAUUUUUUGCCCAUUAAGAUCUUUUUUACCAUUUUAUUAAACAACUAUAUUUUGUAUCCUUUAAUUUAAUUUUUUUAUAUAAAAAAACAUUUUUCUAUGGAAAAUUUACAUUUGCAUCAAUCUCUUUCAAUUUUAUUCUCUACAAAUUCUCCUUUUUUAACCAUAUUCACUCCACUUAUCUUUCUUUUCAACCAUAAUUUAUCCAAUUUUUUUUUAAUAAAAUCCCUUUCAGACGAACAAUUUCCCCAAAACUCAUUUCAUAAACACAAAUCCCUUUCAGACGAACAAUUGAAGGGAUAUAUAGGAAAAAUGAAAAGAACGGCAAGGGAGUUAGAUUUCGUGCUUGGGAGCUGGGUGGAUGAGCAUCGAAGAAUCAGGCUCAACAGAAGCAUCAACGAGGAGGAGAAAGAUUUCAUCUAUGUAAUGCUUUCUAUCAUGGAUGAUAGUAACCUUUCUGUUGAUGAAGCUGACACAACCGUUAAGGCUACUUGCUUGGUAAGUAUCUAGUAAAUUUCUGCAAUUAAAAGUUUUAUACUUUUCUGUUGCAGCUGAAACCUACUCAAGGAACUGGGGCAAAACUUGUUUUUUUCACAUGUCUGAAAGGAGUUUGGGUAAAUGAUGAUCUGUAUUUGAUUUAAGUUUUCAGGAAAGUCUCUAACUAGAGGCCCUUGCUGUGUCUUUCAUUUUCUGCAACACUGCAUACAGCUAGGCAAAACAUCCAGAGUUUAUGUUCGAUUUUUGCAUUUUGCAUUAUAGUAUUUAUCAAAAAAAGAAAUUGCACUAUAGCAGACAUAGUAAUUUCUAAUGGUCAUAUAAAUCCUAAUAAAUUAAAGGAAUAAAUUUCGUAUGUGUAUAUAAAUCAGAUUUUUACUCCAUCAUCUCACAGUAUCAAGUAAUCUCUAUGGCAGAGCCUUCUAUCGGGAGGCAGUGACACAACAACGAUAGCUGUUACAUGGGCACUAGCUUUGCUACUAAACAACAGAAAUAUGCUUAAAAAAGCUCAAUGUGAGCUUGACACCCACGUGGGAAAGCACCGCCAAGUGGCCGAGACAGACAUAAAGAACCUUGUAUAUUUGCAAGCCAUUGUCAAGGAAACAUUCAGACUACACCCACCAGGACCACUCUCAGCACCAAGGGAAGCCAUGGCGGAUUGCACUGUAGCUGGCUUCCACAUCCCAGCAGGCACGCGCCUUGUGGUUAACCUCUGGAAGUUGCAUCGUGACCCUAACAUUUGGGCUAACCCAUUGGAAUUUCAGCCUGAGAGGUUCCUGAAAGAGCAUGCCAAUUUGGAUGUAAGGGGCCAGGACUUCGAAUUCAC